ACGCUCGACACCUACGGGAGGCAGCGGUGGGGAAUAUUGCACAAUGGGGGAAACCCUGAUGCAGCGACGCCGCGUGGAGGAAGAAGGUCUUCGGAUUGUAAACUCCUGUUGUUGGGGAAAAAGAGGAUGGUACCCAACAAGGAAGUGACGGCUAACUACGUGCCACAGCCGCGGUAAUCUGAGCGGGCUGGCAAGGC
rnacentral:rRNA from 1 species